GAUGAACGCUGGCGGCGUGCCUAAUACAUGCAAGUCGAGCGAACAGACGAGGAGCUUGCUCCUCUGACGUUAGCGGCGGACGGGUGAGUAACACGUGGAUAACCUACCUAUAAGACUGGGAUAUCUUCGGGAAACCGGAGCUAAUACCGGAUAACAUGUUGAACCGCAUGGUUCAACAGUGAAAGACGGUCUUGCUGUCACUUAUAGAUGGAUCCGCGCCGCAUUAGCUAGUUGGUAAGGUAACGGCUUACCAAGGCAACGAUGCGUAGCCGACCUGAGAGGGUGAUCGGCCACACUGGAACUGAGACACGGUCCAGACUCCUACGGGAGGCAGCAGUAGGGAAUCUUCCGCAAUGGGCGAAAGCCUGACGGAGCAACGCCGCGUGAGUGAAGAAGGUCUUCGGAUCGUAAAACUCUGUUAUUAGGGAAGAACAAAUGUGUAAGUAACUAUGCACGUCUUGACGGUACCUAAUCAGAAAGCCACGGCUAACUACGUG
rnacentral:rRNA from 1 species